rnacentral:rRNA from 1 species
UUUCUUGAUUAGUGGCGCACGGGUGAGUAAUGCAUAGAUAAUGUGCCCCUUAGUUCGGGAUAGCCACUGGAAACGGUGAUUAAUACCGGAUACUCCUUCUUGUUAUAAGACAAGUCGGGAAAGUUUUUCGCUAAGGGAUCAGUCUAUGUUCCAUCAGCUUGUUGGUGAGGUAAUGGCUCACCAAGGCUAUGACGGAUAUCUGGUUUGAGAGGAUGAUCAGACACACUGGAACUGAGACACGGUCCAGACUCCUACGGGAGGCAGCAGUGAGGAAUAUUGCACAAUGGAGGAAACUCUGAUGCAGCAACGCCGCGUGGAGGAUGACGCAUUUCGGUGUGUAAACUCCUUUUAUUAGGGAAGAUAAUGACGGUACCUAAUGAAUAAGCACCGGCUAACUCCGUGCCAGCAGCCGCGGUAAUACGGAGGGUGCAAGCGUUACUCGGAAUCACUGGGCGUAAAGGGUGCGUAGGCUGGCUUUUAAGUCAGAUGUGAAAUCCAAUGGCUCAACCAUUGAACUGCAUUUGAAACUGAAAGCCUAGAGUUCAGAAGGGGCAGAUGGAAUUAGUGGUGUAGGGGUAAAAUCCGUAGAUAUCACUAGGAAUAUCAAAAGCGAAGGCGAUCUGCUGGGAUGAUACU